GACGAACGCUGGCGGCGUGCCUAACACAUGCAAGUCGAACGGUCCGGCACUCAACCGACCCUCAGUCUAACUGUAGGGGAAGUUGAGUGCCGGGUAGUGGCGGACGGGUGAGUAACGCGUGGGCAACCAACCCUGUACAGUGGGAUAACACCGGGAAACCGGUGCUAAUACCGCAUGACACCUAUAUGGUGCAUACCGUAUAGGUUAAAGGAUUUAACCGGUACAGGACGGGCCCGCGUCCCAUUAGCUAGUUGGUGAGGUAACGGCCCACCAAGGCGACGAUGGGUAGCCGACCUGAGAGGGUGACCGGCCACACUGGGACUGAGACACGGCCCAGACUCCUACGGGAGGCAGCAGUGGGGAAUAUUGCGCAAUGGGGGGAACCCUGACGCAGCGACGCCGCGUGAGCGACGAAGGCCUUCGGGUCGUAAAGCUCUGUUCUUGGGACGAAGGAAAUGACGGUACCCAAGGAGAAAGCCCGGCUAACUACGUG
rnacentral:rRNA from 1 species